GUGUAUCACUUGUACACGCCGAUUCUGAGUGCGCCGUCCACGCUUACCUGACGACUGCUCGUUAGGGUUUGUUAGCU
rnacentral:sRNA from 4 species